AGUCAAUUUAUACAGGUGGGCAGCUGGAGUCUCUGGUUUAACACUGGGAGCCAUAAAGCCCAGCAAGAUCUUCCUCUCAUCUAAGCUGCUGUUUGGACAAGACAGGCUUGUGAAUCUGCUGCACAACAUUUCAGUUCAUCUAUUCGCUGGCUCUGUGGCUUUAAACAAAUAUCUUCCCCUCUCUGAGCCUCAGAUUCCCUUCUGUGAUGAAGGUCACAGAACUAGAUGAUCUUUAAGUUCCUGGUGGCCUAUGUUGCUGAGUCAAAACGCAGGGACUCUGCCCCAAGCCCGUCCCCAUUCUUUUACGAAAUAUGAUGACUUGAACGCUGGAUCAGACUUCACGGGGCCAUCCUGGGCCUCCCCACUGCUUAGUGAAUUUGGAAAUUUAUUUGAUCUGCAACUUAUGGUUGUAAAAGGACUAUCACACCACCACUAGCAGUGUAAAGAUUGCAUGAGCUAAUUCAUGUUCAAUGUUUAAUAAAAUCUGUGGGCAAUAUU